rnacentral:rRNA from 1 species
UACGGAGGAUGCAAGCGUUAUCCGGAAUGAUUGGGCGUAAAGGGUGCGUAGGUGGCGGGGUAAGUCUGGUGUGAAAGCUCCGAGCUCAACUCGGAAAAGCAUUGGAAACUAUCCCGCUUGAGGGUCGGAGGGGAGACUGGAAUUCUCGGUGUAGCAGUGAAAUGCGUAGAUAUCGAGAGGAACACCAGUGGCGAAGGCGAGUCUCUGGACGACUCCUGACACUGAGGCACGAAAGCUAGGGGAGCAAACAGG